rnacentral:rRNA from 1 species
UACGUAGGGGGCUAGCGUUGUCCGGAAUCAUUGGGCGUAAAGCGCGUGUAGGCGGUCCGGUAAGUCCGCUGUGAAAGUCGAGGGCUCAACCCUCGAAUGCCGGUGGAUACUGCCGGGCUUGAGUACGGGAGAGGCGAGUGGAAUUCCUGGUGUAGCGGUGAAAUGCGCAGAUAUCAGGAGGAACACCGAUUGCGAAGGCAGCUCGCUGGAACGUUACUGACGCUGAGACGCGAAAGCGUGGGGAGCAAACAGG